UGGGUAACCUACCUUAUAGAGGGGAAUAGCCUUCCGAAAGGAAGAUUAAUACCGCAUAACAUUGCAGUUUCGCAUGAAGCAGCAAUUAAAGGAGAAAUCCGCUAUAAGAUGGGCCCGCGGCGCAUUAGCUAGUUGGUGAGGUAAAGGCUCACCAAGGCGACGAUGCGUAGCCGACCUGAGAGGGUGAUCGGCCACAUUGGGACUGAGACACGGCCCAGACUCCUACGGGAGCAG
rnacentral:rRNA from 1 species